UCCUACAUCAAGCUCUUCCUUGCAAAUUACAGUUUCAAGUACACUAUGGUUGGACCGACCUACAAAACCAAUGGAUUUGGCUUUGUGACUCUCUCUCUCUCUCGAUCUCUCUCUCUUCCCCUUCUUUAUUUUUGUUUUUAACUUAAAUAAUCAUCCUUACGAUCAUAUUCAUAUAUUUUCGGAUAAUUUCAUUUUCCAAUCCCAAACUAUUACUUAUUUUGUAUAAACUCCACCUCAAACUACAAAAACCAACAAUUUGGUCUUCCCACAAGGAUCUUCUUUAGUCCCACACGUUUCAAGGGCAAUUCUGAAUGUGACUCAAGACAUAGACAAAUUUGGAGCAAUUGAGCAGAAGUACUUUUCAAGUAGUGGAAGUGGUAGUACUUGUAAAGAUUCAUGUCCCUCAAUCUCUUCAAAUAUUGCCUCAAUCUCUUCAAAUAGCCAUAGUCUCGGUCUGAAUAGCUUCGGAGGCCUUUUCAUCAUCACCGGAGUUGUGUCCUUGUUCUCUGUGUUGGUUUAUGCGUUGAAGUUCCUUCGCACAAAAUGGCCUACCGUGAGCACCCUCAAUCCUGAGAGCUCCUUUUUGUCCAAGUUGAUUGAAAUGGCCAAGCGAUUUGACCAGAGAGAAGAUCCCUCCUCACAUCCCAAUAUUCAUGAAAGAUAUAAAUCUUGGGCAAAUACUGUAUCAAGUCCUGGCGAUAUAGAAUUUCUUCAUAAUAUGGAGAACCACUCCAGGAAUUUCGCCGCUGUAGGCGACAGGGAUGAGAGUGUUUCUUCAAUGGGUUCUCCUUCUCGGCGCAGGCAGGACGUACCAAAUCAUUAAACAUUGGUCUUGUUGUUUUAGGUUUAAUGUAAAGAGACGAAAAUAAAAAUUAAAACAGACGUAGUUAUUCC